CAAAGAACCAGGCAGAGAUCCUGGAAGGUCAUGAGGAUGGGAAUCAGAGAAAAUUGCCCAUUUGGGGGCAACAAUGAAGCAUUCAUCACUCUCCGGAGCUAAGCCAUCUCGAGUAGCCCUCAAUCAAACUCUGCUAUUUUUACCUCAGAGCACAGAGGCCACAGCGGAUAAAGGACCCUUAAGGUAGCUCAUCUAAUUUGUGAUGGGGCCCAGGGUUGUAAUACAUCGUCUUCACGGCCGUCUUCAGGGCCAUGAGCCCUGAGCAGGGCUGGUUUCCCAUGCGUGUCUGCUUGGGAUGGGGAGUUUCAUCAGGAAAACCAAGCACAUAUUAGAACAGGAACAGCAGCUUGGCAGUCAGGGCCCGGACCAAGAAUGCAAAGGGGCUGGAGGAUCCAGGCUCAAUAGUAGCUCAAAAAGGAAGAUACACACAAAGCUGACACACAGAGUGAGCCACCGCCGGCACUGAGGUCACGGUACACAGUGAGCCACGCCUGGCCAGGACACGGACACAUGGGACACUACCCUCCCUUCGCCCCGCAUGCACCACCUGGUCCCGUGCUUCCCCUGGAGCCGCCUCCUUUCCCAUCCUCUGCACUCCCUGGUCCACUCAAGUCUCUGCUCUCUCACACUUCCUCCUGAAGCCAGGCUUUCUCAGAAUCGCUGGGAUCCGCCUCCCCUCUGCAGCUCUGCAGCUCUGCAGAGCUGAGGGCUUUGCUGCCCCUAAAGCGCUAACUACUCACAGAACGAUGUCAAGGGCAUCUCUCAUCGUCCACAUCCAUCUUUUUUGUCUCCCGCGGAGGGGCUGAGUCCACGCUUUGUGUGGCUUCAGUAUUCAGCCCCUGGCUUCCUCACCCGGCCACUGUGAGCUUUCCUUACACAAAACUGGACUGAACUGCUGGGUCAAUUCUCAAACCAUGCAGAAAAGCAGGGAGGUGCCGGCAUUGGCCUGAAUUUAUCAUACUCUUCAUUUCCCCGAAGUAUGAAUUAACAUUAGGCCCUGAGAUCCACAGCGUAUAAUCACUCUAAAUUCAGAUAUAAUAAGUUAUAAAAUGUGACUGUGACCUUCAGUAAAUAUUAAAACAAACAGGCUGGGCGUGGUG
rnacentral:lncRNA from 10 species